UAUUCGAAGUUUCAGUGACUUA
rnacentral:siRNA from 1 species